CCCUUUGUUCGCGCUGCGGCGGGAGGUGGCGGCCGGGGUGGGAGGUGUGUGCGCGCGUGUGCCGCGCUGUAGGGAGCUGCGGGUCUCACCGCCUGCUGUCAGCUAGCUCAGCGCCUCCGAGCCAUGGCUGGAGGAAACUCGCGGCACCAGCCCCGUGGGGCCGGCCGCGGGUGAGCCCCUCUGCCGCCUUCUGCGAGCAUGUCACCUCCAGCCUGCGAGGUCGCUUUCGCUAGCCGUGUCGGUGCCUCCGCCUCCUGCAGCCGCAGCCGCUGCCUGGAGCAGUGGCCCCCGGACCCCCGCCCCUGAUCCGCGCCCAGACUCUGGUGCCAGAGGACCAUGGCUGGCCAAGGCGACUGCUGCGUCAAAGUGGCCGUCAGGAUCCGACCCCAGCUAUCAAAGGAGAAGAUUGAAGGCUGUCACAUCUGUACCUCUGUCACCCCUGGGGAGCCCCAGGUCCUUCUGGGGAAGGACAAGGCCUUCACCUAUGACUUUGUCUUUGACCUGGACACCUGGCAGGAGCAGAUCUAUUUGACCUGUGUGAACAAGCUCAUUGAAGGCUGCUUCGAGGGCUAUAAUGCCACCGUUUUGGCCUAUGGACAGACAGGGGCUGGAAAGACAUACACUAUGGGUACCGGCUUCGACACAGUGACAUCAGAAGAGGAGCAGGGCAUCAUCCCAAGAGCCAUUGCACACCUCUUCAGGGGCAUCGACGAACGCAAGCGGCGAGCACAGGAGCAGGGCAUGACUGGGCCUGAAUUCAAAGUCAGUGCCCAGUUCCUGGAGCUCUACAAUGAAGAGAUCCUUGACCUGUUUGAUAGCACCCGUGACCCCGACGCCCGCCACCGAAGGUCCAACAUCAAGAUCCAUGAGGAUGCCAAUGGUGGCAUCUAUACCACAGGUGUCACUUCUCGCCUCAUCAACUCCCAGGAGGAGCUGAUCCAGUGCCUGAAGCAGGGAGCCCUGUCACGCACCACAGCCAGCACCCAGAUGAAUGUUCAGAGCUCCAGAUCGCAUGCCAUCUUCACCAUCCACCUGUGCCAGAUGCGCGUGUGUGCCCAGCCUGACCUGGUGAAUGAGACGGUGACUGGGCUUCCGGAUGGAGCAGCCCCCACGGGCACUGAGUAUGAGACACUCACUGCUAAGUUUCACUUUGUGGACUUGGCCGGCUCAGAGCGGUUGAAGCGGACAGGGGCUACCGGCGAACGGGCCAAGGAGGGCAUCUCUAUCAACUGUGGUCUGCUGGCCUUGGGCAAUGUGAUCAGCGCCUUGGGGGACCAGAGCAAGAGGGUCGUGCACGUGCCCUACAGGGACUCCAAGCUCACUCGGCUGCUCCAGGAUUCUCUUGGAGGCAAUAGCCAGACCAUCAUGAUUGCCUGUGUGAGCCCCUCGGAUCGGGACUUCAUGGAGACGCUUAAUACUCUCAAGUAUGCCAAUCGGGCCCGCAACAUCAAAAACAAGGUUGUGGUGAACCAGGACAAGACCAGCCAGCAAAUCAGCGCACUGCGAGCUGAGAUUGCGCGCCUGCAGAUGGAACUGAUGGAGUACAAAGCGGGCAAGCGGGUGAUCGGGGAGGACGGUGCGGAGGGCUACAGUGACCUGUUUCGGGAGAAUGCCAUGCUACAGAAGGAGAACGGGGCGCUGCGGCUCCGAGUGAAGGCCAUGCAGGAGGCCAUUGAUGCCAUCAACAACCGGGUCACACAGCUCAUGAGCCAGGAGGCCAACCUGCUUCUGGCCAAGGCUGGUGAUGGCAAUGAGGCCAUUGGUACUCUGCUCCAGAACUACAUCCGGGAGAUUGAGGAGCUUCGAACAAAGCUCCUGGAGAGUGAGGCCAUGAAUGAGUCCCUCCGCAGAAGCCUCUCACGGGCUUCAGCUCGGAAUCCCUAUUCCCUGGGAGCAUCUCCAGUAGGUCCAGCCUUUGGUGGCAGCCCGGCCACCUCCAUGGAAGAUGCUUCUGAAGUGAUCCGAAGGGCCAAGCAAGACCUGGAACGCUUGAAAAAGAAAGAGGUCAGACAGCGAAGGAAGAGCAGCCCAGAGAAAGAAGCCUUCAAAAAGAGGGCAAAGCUCCAGCAGGAAAACAGUGAGGAGACUGAUGAAAAUGAGGCUGAGGAGGAGGAGGAAGAGCGAGAUGAGAGUGGCUGUGAGGAGGAGGAAGGGCGUGAGGAUGAGGAUGAAGACUCGGGCAGUGAAGAGAGCCUCGUAGACUCAGACUCCGACCCUGAAGAAAAGGAAGUGAACUUCCAGGCAGACCUGGCGGACCUGACAUGCGAGAUUGAGAUCAAGCAGAAACUGAUUGACGAGCUGGAGAACAGCCAGCGGCGGCUGCAGACCCUCAAGCACCAGUACGAGGAGAAGCUCAUUCUGCUGCAGAACAAGAUCCGAGACACACAGCUGGAGCGCGACCGCGUGCUGCAGAACCUCAGCACCAUGGAGUGCUACACGGAGGAGAAGGCCAACAAGAUAAAGGCAGAUUACGAGAAGAGGCUGCGGGAGAUGAACCGGGACCUCCAGAAGCUACAGGCUGCUCAAAAGGAGCAUGCCAGGCUACUCAAGAACCAGUCCCGCUAUGAAAGGGAGCUGAAGAAGCUACAGGCAGAGGUAGCGGAGAUGAAGAAGGCCAAGGUAGCACUCAUGAAGCAGAUGCGUGAGGAACAGCAGCGGCGACGACUGGUGGAGACCAAGAGGAACCGGGAGAUUGCUCAGCUCAAGAAGGAACAACGGAGGCAGGAGUUUCAGAUACGGGCCCUGGAGUCUCAGAAGCGCCAGCAGGAAAUGGUCCUGAGGAGGAAAACUCAGGAGGUUUCUGCACUGAGACGCUUGGCAAAGCCCAUGUCUGAGCGAGUGGCUGGGCGUGUAGGAUCGAAGCCCUCCAGCCUGGAUUCUGGGGCUGAGGUGUCUGCCAGUACUACCUCAUCUGAGGCUGAAUCGGGGGCGCGCUCUGUCUCCAGCAUAGUGCGUCAGUGGAACCGGAAAGUCAACCACUUCCUGGGGGACCAUCCUGCAGCCACUGUCAAUGGCACCCGCCCAGCCAGGAAGAAGUUCCAAAAGAAGGGAGCCAGCCAAAGCUUCAGUAAGGCUGCAAGACUCAAGUGGCAGUCCCUGGAGCGGAGGAUCAUCGACAUUGUCAUGCAGAGAAUGACCAUCGUCAACCUGGAGGCGGAUAUGGAGCGUCUCAUAAAGAAAAGGGAGGAGCUCUUCCUCCUACAGGAGGCGCUGCGGAGGAAGCGGGAGCGCCUGCAGGCAGAGAGCCCUGAGGAGGAGAAGGGACUACAGGAGCUGGCUGAGGAGAUCGAGGUGUUGGCAGCCAACAUCGACUACAUCAACGACAGCAUCACUGACUGCCAAGCCACCAUCGUGCAGCUGGAGGAAACCAAGGAGGAGCUGGACUCAACAGACACAUCUGUGGUCAUUAGCUCCUGCUCCCUGGCUGAAGCCCGCCUACUGCUAGACAACUUCCUCAAGGCGUCCAUUGACAAGGGACUACAGGUAGCACAGAAGGAAGCCCAGAUCCGGCUGCUGGAAGGUCGCCUGAGACAAACAGACAUGACUGGCUCUUCCCAGAACCACUUGCUCCUAGAUGCUUUGCGUGAGAAGGCCGAGGCACACCCCGAGCUACAGGCCCUCAUCUAUAAUGUGCAGCACGAGAAUGGCUAUGCAAGCACAGAUGAGGAGGUUUCAGAGUUCUCUGAGGGGAGCUUUUCCCAAUCAUUCACUAUGAAAGGCUCUACCAGCCAUGAUGACUUCAAGUUCAAGGGUGAGCCCAAGCUAUCUGCGCAAAUGAAGGCCGUGUCUGCGGAGUGCCUGGGACCCCCACUGGACAGCUCCACCAAAAACAUCACCAAGUCCCUGGCCUCCCUCGUGGAGAUCAAAGAGGAUGGAGUGGGCUUCUCUGUCCGGGACCCCUACUACCGGGACAAGGUCUCACGCACCGUCAGCCUGCCCACCCGGGGCAGCACUUUCCCUCGGCAGUCUCGAGGUGGUGCGGACACAUCUCCUCUGACCAGGAGGAAGUCUUAUGACCGGGGACAGCCCAUCAGAUCCGCAGACAUGGGCUUCACACCGCCAUCAUCACCUCCUACCCGUCCCCGCAAUGACCGAAACGUCUUCUCUCGUCUCACCAGCAAUCAGAGCCAGGGGUCAGCACUGGACAAGUCUGAUGACAGCGACUCCUCUUUGUCGGAGGUCCUGAGGGGCAUCAUCACCCCCAUUGGAGGAGUAAAGGGAGCACGGACGGCCCCAUUGCAGUGUGUCUCCAUGGCCGAGGGCCACACCAAGCCCAUCCUCUGCCUGGAUGCCACCGAUGAGUUGCUUUUCACAGGGUCCAAAGACCGUAGCUGCAAGAUGUGGAACCUGGUGACGGGGCAGGAGAUCGCAGCUCUCAAGGGCCACCCCAACAACGUGGUCUCUAUCAAAUACUGCAGCCACUCGGGGCUGGUGUUCUCUGUGUCCAGCUCCUACAUCAAGGUCUGGGACAUCCGGGACUCGGCCAAGUGCAUUCGGACACUCACGUCCUCAGGCCAGGUGAUCUCAGGAGAUGCUUGCAUAGCCACAUCCACACGUGCCAUCACCAGUGCCCAGGGGGAGCAUCAGAUUAACCAGAUGGCCCUCAGCCCCUCAGGCAACAUGCUCUAUGUCGCCUCUGGCAAUGCUGUUCGCAUCUGGGAGCUCAACAGGUUCCAGCCCAUUGGCAAACUGACUGGCCACAUUGGCCCAGUGAUGUGCCUGACAGUCACCCAGACUUCCAACCAGCAUGACCUCGUGGUGACUGGCUCCAAGGACCACUAUGUGAAGAUGUUCCAGCUGGGCGACUGUGUGAUGGGCACCAUUGGACCAACCCACAACUUUGAGCCCCCUCACUAUGAUGGUAUCGAAUGCCUGGCCAUCCAAGGAGACAUACUGUUCAGUGGCUCCAGGGACAAUGGCAUCAAGAAGUGGGACCUCGAACAGCAGGAGCUCAUUCAGCAAAUCCCCAAUGCUCACAAGGAUUGGGUGUGCGCCCUGGCCUUCGUCCCUGGCCGGCCCAUGCUGCUGAGCGCCUGCCGGGCAGGCUUCAUCAAGGUCUGGAAUGUGGACAACUUCACACCCAUUGGUGAGAUCAAGGGCCACGACAGCCCCAUCAACGCCAUCUGCACCAACAGCAAGCACAUCUUCACAGCCUCCAGUGACUGCCGGGUAAAGCUGUGGAAUUACGUCCCUGGACUCACCCCCUGCCUUCCUCGCCGAGUCCUGGCCAUAAAGGGCCGCGCCACCACCCUCCCCUGACCCUCCCCAGCCCUCCCCCUUUCCUCUCUCAUUCUUCCCCCUCUUGCCUUUUCCUGUCUUUCCCCACCUCGAUCUGAGCUGCUUCUUCACGUGACCUGACGGUGAAGUUCUGGAGCAUGCGGCGGCUUCCAGCAGCCCACCCUUGAAGUUAGGGCUGAGGGUGGUCAGACCCUCAGACCCAGCAGCAGCAGCCUACACAGCAUGGAGAGGAAGCUGUGGCCUGACCUGAUCAAACCAGCCAGGUGCACCGAGGACAGAGGGUGUGGUCCUUCUCUUGCUCUGCUUCCUCCAAAGUCCCCUCUGUCCCUCCCCAGCCUCCUAAGAAAGGAGAGGCUGAGGAGGGAAUUAAGCUGUGAAGCCAAACGGCAUGAUUCCCCUCCCCCAUCAACCAGUCCCUUCCCUCCUCCCGACUGGCCACAAGGUCUACUGCUGAGCCAGCCCUGAUGCCUCUCUUCCAGGCCCUCAGCCCAGGGUGAGACUGAGGGAGAAGCAGCCCUAGCCCUACCCCCAUCCAUCUAUCUUCCAGUGAGCUAGCCUCUUCCAGUGUCCCCACCGCUGGAGCCACUACACCUGCCUCUGAGCCCACCAAGGUAGUUCUCAGGUAACCAUGGAAACCAGACAUAAGCAGCUGAGUCCUGAAGCUGACCCUAAAUCCUACAGCCACCAACAACCAAUUCAAAUGGGGCCCAGUCAUUCCCUGAGGCCUCAUUCUGCUGGGGCCUUGGCGGAGCUUCUUAAACAAUUCCUUUGGGAAGAAGGUCAGCAAUACUGCAGUUAUUUAAUUUAUUGAUUUUUUUUAAAUUAUUUUUACGUUUUGCUGUUGCCUCCUGGAAACUGACUUGAAGUUUCUUCCCAUCUUCUUCCCUCCGCUCCUGGCGAGGGGUCUUCUCUCUGGCGUUCCUGGGGCCCCGCUCUGCUUGCUCUGCAACCGAGGCCCACUCUACCCUUUGCAGCUCUGGCCAUUGUCCCAGUUCUGCCCACCCCAGCAGACCUUCUAGUAUAGACCAGGCCUCUAGGCAGCCUGAUGCCAUAGUGCCUUCCUCCAUCCUGAGGCCUGGCAUCAUGCUGGGCAGCCUUACACCAACCAUGCCCGCAGCCCACAUGUGUCUUCUACUUCUGGGCCUCGUGCCCACAGCCCCUUAAAGGUCCACCCCGACAGGCAGGACCAGGGAACCCAUGCUCCCCAGAGUCCUGUGUGGUCCAGUGGGAAGUAGCUUGGUAGACUGUCCACUAGGUAGGCUUGAGUAGUAAGACCAUCAGGUACUUUGCCUAACCCCCUAGCCAAUUAUGUUUCCACCCCCAAGGGAGACAGGGGGCCUCCUCAGCUUCUUUUAGUUUUCUAGAAACAGGUUUUCAAGCCUUAAAAUCAGCCUGGGCCAAAGGUUCCUCCCUUUUAAGUUAGCAUGAGGAGGUACCGACUCCACACCCCACCCCCCCACCCCCCCACCCCACCCCACCCCACCCCCCGCUUCUUCCCUUGGCGCUGUGGGCUCAGCUGCUGGGAUGAGGUGGAAUCGGUGUCUGGCGCCCCCUCCUGGAACAACUCUGAAUUUAUAGGACUAGGCCUUGAGGGCCCAGCUCUGUUCCUCACCCCGGUCUUUCCCUGCCCUUAAGCCAGUCCAUACUUACUCUGCUGCUUCACUGUCUGUGCUUUCUGGUCUCAUUCUGGAGCCGUGAACCCCAGAUCCAUUCAGAGGACGUGGUGGCUUGUGGACUUUGGAGAGCUAGCAUAGCGCGUCUGCACCUAGCUCAUCUCCCUCUAUGGUGGCUACAUUGGUGCAAGCCAUCUCAGAGCUGCGUCUGAGGCUGACACUAAGACUGUCCCGCCGAUUGGUGGCCCCUGCCAGACGUGGUGUUAGGUCUGGGGAAAUGGGUAUUUGGGACCAUGCGCCUGGAAAGCGGUCAGCUGAAACCUGGACAGUCUGUCUGCAGUGACCAGAAACCCUCCUUCCUCUGCUCAUUCCAGGAGUGUUAAGAAACUUCCUUAGCACUCAGAAGCAACCACAUCUUCAUCUCCUCCUUCCAGUUCCUGAGUGGAAAGCCUGGACCUUACACCCUGUAAGAAAACCCAGAACCUACCUGCAUGACUGUUUACAAACUACAGAAACACACGAGACUUGUAUCCCGACCCUAUGGGCUGGGCUGCCCCAACAUGGGGUACCUGUACUGUAGAGCUGCAAGGCCAGUUCUUGCACAAAGUGUGUGGUCUUACAGCCCACGAGAGGUGCUCACCGCCAUUGCCCCCUUUGCCAUUCCCGAUGGGCCACUACCUCAUGGUGGGGCUGCUAUGCUGUCCCAGCGAGUGUCAUUAACUAAACUUGAAAUACUUCGGAGCUCUGAGCACAUCAUCCCCGAGCCAUUCUGAGCUGUGUUCUGGGAAUGUUGGAGUUCCUGUCCACUCUUUUAAGGGUGUCCAAGGUACAUAAUCAGGGGCAGGCCCCCAGCUCCACUCAUUGCACAAAUGGCCGACAUGUUGGAAGCACAAACCGGUUGGAAUUUGAGCACAAUAGCAGGCCUCUGGGCAGACAGUAUGAACAAACUUGAGCCGAGGCGCUCUCUCCCAGAUGGCCUGAGUCUUAAAUGAGACUAGGGAUGCCCCUGUCUUCUGGGACUUGUCAUGCUACUUCUUGUGUUCAUCUUAAGACUUGAGGCCCAGGCCACAUCUGUAUGCUGUGGGGCCCUCCCUAGAUUCCCCACACCCCAGGCCUUUAAAAACACAAGUACAGCUCUACCCUACCAUGCUAAGCCUGAAGAGCCUGGCCCUGGGCUCCCAUCUUCUGAGCUAAUGCCCACAUCCAUGCAACUGAAGCUGAAGGGCUUCUAUCUAGAUGGAAAGUGUCUACUGUCCCCACUCUCUUAGGCCUUCUCUGCACAGUCCUGGGCCAGGACCCAUUCCAGUAUUAACCAAUUCAGUGUUUUCUCUUGUUGGAGAGACAUGACUGUACAGCAGCCAGCUCCCAGAAGGCUGUGCCUGGAGCAGCCUUUAGAGACUGCCCAAGGAGAAAGAGAAUGUAAAGAAUAAGAGGCUGACCCAGCCCAGCCCUUGAUGUGGUCAGAAUGCCACCACCAACUACUUGAAAAGGGACAGCUAUGGAUUAGGAAGUAGCCUCCCAGCUGCAGGCUGGGCAUUGCCUGUGGCUUGGGCAAAGGGCAUAAUAAAGCACGGAGCCACGCUGGGAAGAAGCUGCCUCCCUGGGCGUCCCCGUGCUAACCGUUGUGGUGGCAGCGCAGGUCGGAAGCUGAUGUGAAGGCAGGACACUGCGUCUCUGCCCUGCCCUCUCCCAGCUCUUGGAGGCUUCCCUGGAGUCUGGCCUGGGUGCAGGCACACCCCCUUGUCUGGUAUGUUUGUGUGGGCAGGACCUGCCCUGCAGGAGCAGUGAAUUCCUUCCCUUCAUGUGGCCCAAAGCUGGGGCAUCUGUCCCUUUGUCUUUUCACACAAGAAACUUCUUACUGCUUCCUUUGCUGAGCACAGUGGCCAGGGCCUCUGCAGGCCUUCCUGAGCCCCGCUGUUCCCCACCUAACUCCUAGUCUUCACUGCUCCUUGUGAGCAAGAGCAGAAUCUGCAGGGAAAGUUGUUCCUUUGACAUCAUUGGUCUGCCCCCUGUGCCCACCUCCCUUCAUCUCCAGCACCCAGCUGACCUCCCUUUGCCUACUCCCCUCCACCUUCCUGAAGGCUUUGUCAGAAAGUGGGAGUCGGUACUCCUGAGAGUCAGAAAAGACCACUGACCUCUGGGGCCCCGCCCUGCCGCCAGCCCUGGAGCCGUUGCCCCCGCCCAGGUGGCAGGCUCUCGUUUGGCUCAUGCGCUCUCCUGUGACACGGUAGCACAAGGUGUGUAUAUGUUUGUACCUCUGCUGAUGACUGUACAUAGUGUAUGAAAGUUAUUUAAGCCUCAUGCUGUACAUUUCUGUUCUGGAAUUGGAUGUGUGUGUUCUAAGAACUUGUCAUAAAUAAAACCUGAAUGACCAUUGUCCAUA